GACGGAGGGUGCUAGCGUUGUUCGGAAUCACUGGGCGUAAAGGGCGCGUAGGCGGCCGCCCGCGUCGGACGUGAAAGCCCGGGGCUCAACCCCGGAACGGCGUCCGAUAACGGGGGCGGCUCGAGGCCGGGAGAGGGGGGUGGAAUACCCAGUGUAGAGGUGAAAUUCGUAGAUAUUGGGUGGAACACCGGUGGCGAAAGCGGCCCCCUGGCCCCGGUCCUGACGGCUGACGGCGCGAAAGCGUGGGGAGCAAACAGGG
rnacentral:rRNA from 1 species